GGUGCGUAACGCGUAUGCAACCUACCCUAUACAGGGGGAUAGCCCGGAGAAAUUCGGAUUAAUACCCUAUAAUAUUUACUACUCGCAUGAGUUGGUAUCUUAAAACUCCGGUGGUUAUAGAUGGGCAUGCGGCCUAUUAGUUUGUUGGUGAGGUAACGGCUCACCAAGACUACGAUAGGUAGGGGUUCUGAGAGGAUGAUCCCCCACACUGGUACUGAGACACGGACCAGACUCC
rnacentral:rRNA from 1 species